rnacentral:rRNA from 1 species
UACGAAGGGUGCAAGCGUUACUCGGAAUUACUGGGCGUAAAGCGUGCGUAGGUGGUUGUUUAAGUCUGUUGUGAAAGCCCUGGGCUCAACCUGGGAAUUGCAGUGGAUACUGGGCGACUAGAGUGUGGUAGAGGGUAGUGGAAUUCCCGGUGUAGCAGUGAAAUGUGUAGAGAUCGGGAGGAACAUCCAUGGCGAAGGCAGCUACCUGGACCAACACUGACACUGAGGCACGAAAGCGUGGGGAGCAAACAGG